rnacentral:rRNA from 1 species
GAUGAACGCUGGCGGCGUGCCUAAUACAUGCAAGUCGAGCGAACAGACGAGGAUCUUGCUCCUCUGACGUUACCGGCGGACGAGUGAGUAACACGUGAAUAACCUCCCUAUAAGACUGGGAUAACUUCGGGAAACCGUAGCUAAUACCGGAUAAUAUAUUGAACCGCAUGGUUCAAUAGUGAAAGUCGGUUUUGCUGUCACUUAUUGAUGGAUCCUCGCCGCAUUAGCUAGUAGGUAAGGUACCGGCUUACCAAGGCAACGAUGCGUCGCCGACCUGCGAUGAUGGUUGGCCGCCCUGGAACUGAGACCCGGUCCAGGGGCCUACGGGAGGGAGCCGUACGCCAUCUUGCGCAAUGGGCGAAAGCCUGACGGCGCAGCGCCGAGUGUGUGAUGAAGGUCUUCGGUUCGUAAGACUCUGUUUUUCGGGAAGAACAGUUGUGUAAGUAACUAUGCACCACUUGACGGUACCUACUCAGAAAGCCACGGCUAACUACGUG